rnacentral:tRNA from 1 species
UCCCCAGAGGAAUAGUGGUUAGGCCACGGCACUCUCACUGCCGCAGCCCGGGUUCGAUUCUCGGCCAGGAAA